rnacentral:rRNA from 1 species
ACGGAGGAUCCAAGCGUUAUCCGGAUUUAUUGGGUUUAAAGGGUGCGUAGGCGGCGUUGUAAGUCAGUGGUGAAAGUUUGCAGCUUAACUGUAAAAUUGCCAUUGAUACUGCAGUGCUUGAGUACAGAUGAGGUGGGCGGAAUGUGUCAUGUAGCGGUGAAAUGCAUAGAUAUGACACAGAACACCGAUUGCGAAGGCAGCUCACUAAACUGUAACUGACGCUGAGGCACGAAAGCGUGGGGAUCAAACAGGAUUAGAUACCCUGGUAGUCCACGCCCUAAACGAUGAUUACUCGAUGUUAGCGAUAUACAGUUAGCGUCAAAGCGAAAGCGUUAAGUAAUCCACCUGGGGAGUACGCCGGCAACGGUG